rnacentral:lncRNA from 10 species
GUAUUCAAAGGAUCGGGGAAGGGCAUUGUUGGCAAAUUGGGUCUGAAACCUUUAAUGUGAGACUGAGCUUGAUCGGUGUGAAUAGCAGAAAGAAUACCACUAAGGCUGGAGCAGAAUCAGCAGGUGGGAGAGAGAGCUACUUACCAGUUUCCCUGAACCUAUGAAGAUGCCAGAGGCCGUCUCUGGAGUGAGGCCUCUCUGUUGGUUUUGAGCUGCAGCAUGCCACCCAGAGCAGCCUCUGAUCCCAGCCUCAGACCCAGGCUUCUGAAACCAGACCAGGUCAGAAGGCGACCGAGACAUGGUCUCACAUCUGGGAUAUGUGUAAGUUUCAGGACUGCAGGGAUCUACGUAAACAGGUGGGGAAACUGAGGAUCUUAUGUCCUAGCCAGCAUGCCUGACAAAGAGUUCAAAAACACUCAAGGAAUACUUUAAUAAAUCAAUAAAGUGAACACAGCAAGUGAGGAAUGGCAAGAAACAAGAGAAAAUGUUCAAGAGGACCGUAACGAUGAG